AUGAACGCUGGCGGCGUGCCUCAUACAUGCCAGUCGAGCGAACAGACGAGGAGCUUGCUCCUCUGACGUUAGCGGCGGACGGGUGAGUAACACGUGGAUAACCUACCUAUAAGACUGGGAUAACUUCGGGAAACCGGAGCUAAUACCGGAUAAUAUAUUGAACUGCAUGGUUCAAUAGUGAAAGACGGUUUUGCUGUCACUUAUAGAUGGAUCCGCGCCGCAUUAGCUAGUUGGUAAGGUAACGGCUUACCAAGGCAACGAUGCGUAGCCGACCUGAGAGGGUGAUCGGCCACACUGGAACUGAGACACGGUCCAGACUCCUACGGGAGGCAGCAGUAGGGAAUCUUCCGCAAUGGGCGAAAGCCUGACGGAGCAACGCCGCGUGAGUGAUGAAGGUCUUCGGAUCGUAAAACUCUGUUAUUAGGGAAGAACAAAUGUGUAAGUAACUAUGCACGUCUUGACGGUACCUAAUCAGAAAGCCACGGCUAACUACGUG
rnacentral:rRNA from 1 species